GUAUUUAUUGUAUUUGUUUAAUGCAGUAAUGUUGUAGAUUGUACCCUUACAUCUAUCUAACAAAUUGUAUCAUACAGAUGAUAACAUUGUGUUUCAAUGUAGCUGUAUGUACGCUUAUUUUCCAAUAAUGUUGUAGAGCGUGUCAUUAUAUCACAAGUUUGACAAAUUCUAUCAUGUAAAUAAAAGUAUGUCAAAUUGUUCAUAUAAAAAAGAAGAUGUGGUAUGAUUGCCAAUGAGACCAAAAUGACACAGACAUUAACAACUAUAUGUCACCGUACGGCCUUCAACAAUGAGCAAAGCCCAUACCGAAUAGUCAGCUAUAAAAGGCCCCGAUAAGACAAUGUAAAACAAUUCAAAGGAGUAUAAAAAAAUGAACGAAAAACAAUUAUGUAACACAUACCGGUAUAACUUAUAACUUGUUUGUAUAUAUAUUUGGUUCUAUUGAUGUAGAGUUGAUUGUCAUGUCGAUUGUAUCUUGUAACUAAAGCAUGUUGAAUUAUUUAUAACUUGUUUGUAAAUAUAUUUCGUUCUAUAGAUGUAGAGUGUGUCAUUGUAACAUAUGUUUGACGGUUUGUGUCUUGUAAAUAAAAGCAUUUUGUUCCACAUUUAAUAAAUGAAUUGAU
rnacentral:lncRNA from 1 species